CCAAUAGCGUAUAUUAAAGUUGCUGCAGUUAAAAAGCUCGUAGUUGAAUUUCGGGACCAAUAUGUCGGUCGUGCCUCGGUACGUACUGGCAUCGUUGGUUUCUCCCUUCUGACGAACCUUGAUGUCAUUCAUUUGGUGUCGUGGGGAAUCAGGACUGUUACUUUGAAAAAAUUAGAGUGUUUAAAGCAGGCUUACGCUUGAAUACAUUAGCAUGGAAUAA
rnacentral:rRNA from 1 species